rnacentral:rRNA from 1 species
UACGAAGGGGGCUAGCGUUGCUCGGAAUCACUGGGCGUAAAGCGCACGUAGGCGGCUUCUUAAGUCAGGGGUGAAAUCCUGGAGCUCAACUCCAGAACUGCCUUUGAUACUGAGGAGCUUGAGUCCGGGAGAGGUGAGUGGAACUGCGAGUGUAGAGGUGAAAUUCGUAGAUAUUCGCAAGAACACCAGUGGCGAAGGCGGCUCACUGGCCCGGUACUGACGCUGAGGUGCGAAAGCGUGGGGAGCGAACAGG